UGCCUUAUAGCUCAACUGGCAGAGCGCUCGACUGUUAAUCGGGUGGCUGUAGGUUCGAUUCCUACUGAGGCAG
rnacentral:tRNA from 1 species